rnacentral:rRNA from 1 species
GUAGUUGACUCCGUGCUCAGACUACGCUGGCGGCGUGCCUAACACAUGCAAGUCGAACGGGCCCUUCGGGGCUAGUGGCAGAAGGGUGAGUAACACGUAGGCAAUGUGUCUUCUCGCUGGGGAUACCCGCCCGAAAGGGCGGCUAAUACCGAAUGAUUCCGCUUCGAGGCAUCUUGAGGCGUAUAAACCGUAAGGGUGAGAGGAGCAGCUUGCGCAUCAUCAGCUAGUUGGUGGGGUAACGGCCUACCAAGGCUUCGACGAUUAGCCGGUCUGAGAGGAUGAACGGCCACACUGGAACUGAGACACGGUCCAGACUCCUACGGGAGGCAGCAGUGAGGAAUAUUGCGCAAUGGGCGGAAGCCUGACGCAGCGACGCCGCGUGUGGGAUGAAGGUCUUCGGAUUGUAAACCAUUGUCAGCAGGGAAGAGAACGGACGGUACCUGCUGAGGAAGCAUCGGCUUACUACGUGCC